ACGUUCUCUGCGGGACAGAGGGGACAAGAGGCAGCAGAGUGCGGUUGGGCUCAGCCCCCUGAUCUUGCAUCUAGCCCUGCUCUGGCCCUUGGGGAACUCAUUGUAUCUGUGUUGGUCGCAUGUGUACAGGGCCAUGUUCAUACAUUCAUCACAUCGUCCUUGGGAAUCUACUCAGGGUAGACAUUCUGCCCAUUUUAGGAGCUCUAAAUGCGGAUUCCUGGCCUCCUUCUCCGUUGUCCCCCAAGAUUUUGGAGUUUCUCGGCAGACCUGAGAGCUCUGGACGGCUUUGCAAACAUUUAAGGCUGAGCUGUGCUUUGCAAGGUCUCAGCAAGGACCUCACACCUUCCAUGCCCUGGGCGGGCAAGUCUAGCCGCAUCGAGAAGAUCAGUGAGACUAUUGUGCCCCGCUGACCUUGGUCUUUUAGGUCCUUUUGGGCCUGUCUUGAGAACCAGGCCUUGGAGUAGCCCUGCCCAAAGUGGGGCAAAGGGCCUGGGAAGCCCCUAACCACUAAAUGUCACCUGCUGCUGCUCCCUGGGGCCUGGAAUUCCCUCCACCAAAGCCAGAAUGUGACCUUUCUCAGGCAGAAACGAGGCCUGUGGUCUUAAGACCAGGGCUUGCUUAACCUCUUGCUCAAGGGAGCCUUUUUUUGGGGAGAAGACAAGUGAGGCAUCAGAAAGUAAGCCUACAGGCCUCCCUGGACGAGGGGGAUGCUAAGAGGAGCACACACACCCCCCCCCCAGCCAAUGAACUGCUCUUGUUAGUGGAAAGGAAGUGAGCGGGUCUCCUGGACUAGAGUCUUGAGGCCCAGCCCUGUCUUAAACCAACUGCCUGCCCAAGCAGGCUUAGUAUCCUUAUCUCCAGAGCAAUCUGUAUCAUCGCCCAUGCCCUGAACGCUCUCAGGGGUGUUGUGGAGGUCCCCUGUUGCCUUUCCUGUCAGCUGAGCGUCCCCGUACCAGGCACGCUGCACGGGAUGCCUGGCUGGGCAUCCAGUCCCCAGAGGCCCUCCCAGGACAGACAUACUGAGCCCGGAGCUGAAUUCUUCCAGGGAGAGGCGUCCCUUCUGCUCCACAUCCACCCAGUCAAAGAUCAUCUCCAGCUCCUCCUCGCCGCCCAAGAAGCUGAACUUGGCUGCCUGCAAGGAAGAGCACUGAUGGGGAAUUCAGUGUUAUGAACUGGCCGUUGGUGAUCUCUGUGGGAUGCGUGAUGGAGACCUCGUGUCUCUUGGUUGAGAGGCAACAGAAAAUCUGAUUUGCUGAUCUUCGUUGGCGGCAGUGGUGGUGGCGUUUCUAUGUGUGGUCCAAAUUGGCGAAAGCAUUUUGUACCCGCUAGGAAGGAGAACAACUCUUGGCCAUCUGGACUGAGGCAGUUUCAAGGUCGUAGAUGAAAACUGCAAAGCCAGGGGCACCUCGGUGGUUCAGUCGGUUAAGUGUCUGCCUUCGGCUCAGGUCAUGAUCUCAGGGUCCUGGGAUCGAGCCCCCCAUCAAGAUCCCCAC